rnacentral:ribozyme from 3 species
CUUUUAAUGCUGCCUAGCCUUUGAGCUAGAAGGUCCCAAGCCCUUAUAAAGCAGAGGGAAAG